GACGAACGCUGGCUGCGUGCUUAACACAUGCAAGUCGAACGGAAAGGCCCUGCUUUUGUGGGGUGCUCGAGUGGCGAACGGGUGAGUAACACGUGAGUAACCUGCCCUUGACUUUGGGAUAACUUCAGGAAACUGGGGCUAAUACCGGAUAGGAGCUCCUGCUGCAUGGUGGGGGUUGGAAAGUUUCGGCGGUUGGGGAUGGACUCGCGGCUUAUCAGCUUGUUGGUGGGGUAGUGGCUUACCAAGGCUUUGACGGGUAGCCGGCCUGAGAGGGUGACCGGCCACAUUGGGACUGAGAUACGGCCCAGACUCCUACGAGAGGCAGCAGUGGGGAAUAUUGCACAAUGGGCGGAAGCCUGAUGCAGCAACGCCGCGUGCGGGAUGACGGCCUUCGGGUUGUAAACCGCUUUCGCCUGUGACGAAGCGUGAGUGACGGUAAUGGGUAAAGAAGCACCGGCUAACUACGUGCCAGCAGCCGCGGUGAUACGUAGGGUGCGAGCGUUGUCCGGAUUUAUUGGGCGUAAAGGGCUCGUAGGUGGUUGAUCGCGUCGGAAGUGUAAUCUCGGGGCUUAACCCUGAGCGUGCUUUCGAUACGGGUUGACUUGAGGAAGGUAGGGGAGAAUGGAAUUCCUGGUGGAGCGGUGGAAUGCGCAGAUAUCAGGAGGAACACCAGUGGCGAAGGCGGUUCUCUGGGCCUUUCCUGACGCUGAGGAGCGAAAGCGUGGGGAGCGAACAGGCUUAGAUACCCUGGUAGUCCACGCUGUAAACGGUGGGUACUAGGUGUGGGGUCCAUUCCACGGGUUCCGUGCCGUAGCUAACGCUUUAAGUACCCCGCCUGGGGAGUACGGCCGCAAGGCUAAAACUCAAAGGAAUCGACGGGGCCCCGCACAAGCGGCGGAGCAUGCGGAUUAAUUCGAUGCAACGCGUAGAACCUUACCUGGGUUUGACAUGGAUCGGGAGUGCUCAGAGAUGGGUGUGCCUCUUUUGGGGUCGGUUCACAGGUGGUGCAUGCCUGUCGUCAGCUCGUGUCGUGAGAUGUUGGGUUAAGUCCCGCAACGAGCGCAACCCUUGUUCACUGUUGCCAGCACGUUAUGGUGGGGACUCAGUGGAGACCGCCGGGGUCAACUCGGAGGAAGGUGGGGAUGACGUCAAGUCCUCAUGCCCCUUAUGUCCAGGGCUUCACGCAUGCUACAAUGGCUGGUACAGAGAGUGGCGAGCCUGUGAGGGUGAGCGAAUCUCGGAAAGCCGGUCUCAGUUCGGAUUGGGGUCUGCAACUCGACCUCAUGAAGUCGGAGUCGCUAGUAAUCGCAGAUCAGCAACGCUGCGGUGAAUACGUUCCCGGG
rnacentral:rRNA from 1 species